rnacentral:tRNA from 1 species
AAGGUCUACAAGAAACUAACCUGCAUCUCCUGAAUGCAACUCAAGCACUUUAAUUAAGCUAAGACCUU